UAUUAGAAAUAUAGUUUUAAAAAAAAAUUAACGAUAUAUAAGUUAUACUUGUAUUAACAUAAGUAUAUAAAGAAACUAUUAUGGAAUUUAAGCUAUGUAUUAAAGAGAAUUAUUUAUACAAAUAGAGAUUUAAUAUCCUAUAAGUAUAUAAACUCUAAGAGAAAUCUAAUACUAAACGAAGUGAAUUGAAAUAUCUUAGUAACUUCAGGAAAAGAAAUCAAAAGAGAUUCUAUGAAUAGCGUGAGCGAAAGUAGAGUAGCCUAUAAAGUAGAACGGUACUGAAACUGUUUAAACAUAAUGGGGAACCUUCCUCAAAGGCUAAAUAUAAUACAUAAGCGAUAGUGAAAAGUACCAUGAGGGAACAAAAACAAAAAUAGUAGUUUUAUAAGCAGUUCGAAGCGCAAGCUAUAGAACGUACCUUUUGCAUAAUGGGUCACCAAGUUAACAUUAGAUGCGAGUUCACGCGUAGUUAAACCGAACGUUAAAAUAACGAAAUAGUGUCUAAAGUUAGACCCGAAGCACGGUGAUUUUACCAUGGUCAGGAUUAUAAAAGUCCGAACGGGUGAUUGUAGCAAAAAUCUCCGAAGAACUGUGGUAGGUGUAGUGAAAGACAACACUGACUGUGAUAGCUGGUUUUCUGCGAAACCUAUAAUAGUAGGCAAUUUAAGUGAAUAUCUUAGCAGGUACAGAAUUUAAUCUCAGACAAGACGCGUAUGCGUUUUAUAUUGUACAAAUUGGGGGAUCGUAAAGAUUUUAUCAGUGAGUAUGUAGACUCGGAAUGGCAAAGAUAUGUCUUAAAUUAUCAGACAUAGAAUGAUAAGGUUGUAUGUCGAAAGGGAAACAGCCCAGAACAAGAGUUAAGGUUCCUAAAUUAUUAGUUGAGUGAAAUUAAGAAGGUUUUUAUUAAAGUCGACAAGGAGAUAGGCUUAGAAGCAGCCAUAAUUUUAUGACCUCGUAACAGAGCGCUUGUUAAGUUAUAAAAGCAUCGAAAAUUUAACGGAUCUAAACAAUAUACCGAAACCUUGUCCAUAAUACAUUGUAUUAAUAAGCUUUAAUAUAAUUAAAUGGGGUAGCAGAACGUUGAGCUAGAUUACGAUUUCUAUUUUUUAAAUAGAAUGAUAAUAAUUUAACUCAAGUGAGAAUGGUGACAUGAGUAACUAAAAGAAAAUUUUCCGCCUUAAGCUUAUGGAUAUAAUUAAGUAACGGCCUCUAAGUUUAUAUUAUCUAAAGAUUUAAACGAUGAGAAAAUCUUUUUUACUAAGGACAACAUUUUAGUGUAAAAUGUGCUGGAAAAAUAGUAAAUAUAUUUAUAAGCGCAAGCUUAUAAACGAAGAAUAACCGUACCUAGAAUCUGAAACAAGUAAGCUAGUAGAGAAUACGAAGGCGUAAAUGAGCUAACAAUCAUAAAGGAACUCGGCAAAUUGACUACCGUAACUUCGGAAUAAGGAGGGCUCAUUAUUCCUGAUUAAUAUCAGGUAAAGAGGAAGAAGCAUGAAAUAAUGUUGUACGACUGUUUAAUUAAAACACAGCACUUUGCUGAAAGAUUAAAAAUCUAAGUAUAAAGUGUGAUAUCUGCCCGGUGCCGGCUGGUUAACAGAGAUAAUUGAAUAUACUACUAUUUGAUGUCGACGGAAACCCCGGUUAAAGGCGGCCUUAACGUGAGGGUCCUAAGGUAGCGAAAUGCCUUGGCCGUUAAAUGCGGUCUUGCAUGAAUGGUGUAACGAUACAACAGCUGUCUCUAUGAUUGACUCAGUGAAAUUGGAAUAGCUGUGCAGAUACAGCUUACCUCUAGUUAGACGAGAAGACCCUAUGCAGCUUUACUGUCACUAAUUAUAGAGUAUGAUAGACAAUUUUCAGAUUAUAAGGUAAUUGACGAUAUGGCAAUGAGAAUCCUUUAUUUUUCUUUCAUAUGAAUGAAUUGGUUUAGGAUUAUGAGUAAAUUAUAAUUGAUGUGGCUUUACUGAGCUAUUUUUAUACAUUAAUUAUAAUUUUUAAAUUAUUAUAUAGCUCAUUUUAGUAGACCAGCCUAAUUCAACUUAUUAUUUAAUAAUAGUAAGUACCCUUUGGCAAGGAACUAUCGCUAGGGGACAGUUUAUGUGGGGCACAGACCCUGUAAAGAGUAAACAGGAGUGUCUAAAAAUUUAUAAUUAUUUUGUUUGCUAUUUUAAGUAGUUUAACUAUUUUUAAUCAUAUACAAUUAUUUAUAUUUGCAUUGUUGUAAAUAUAUUUAAGUUUAGGUAGGAUUUUCACUAUAUAGAAAUUAGAGAUAAUUGAGAAUAUUAUGAAGUUUUCUAAUAUUUUCUAGCUAUUAUUGCUUAGGCAUUAAUAGUUAUGUAUUUAAUAUCUAAAAAGCUCAACGGCUUAAUCCUGCCUUACUGUUUGAUUAUCUACAAAUCUUACAGUUGCGUAAGCAGGGCAUAGGAUCACAAGAUGCAAUAAGGAAAGAUCUUGGAUUAUUGGAAAAGCUACGCUAGGGAUGAACAGGCUAAUUUGCGCAAGAGUGUACAAAAUGAGUGCGCGGUUUGGCACCUCGAUGUCGGCUUAACUUAUCCUCAUGGACGCAGGAACUAUGUAGGGUGCGACUGUUCGUCGAUUAAAAAGUUACAUGAGCUGGGUUAAAUACGUCGUGAGACAGUAUGGUUUCUAUCUUCUAGGGGGAAUUAGAAUAAAAUAAGAACGAACUUUUGUACGCAAGGAACAAGAAGAAUUUGACCCGUAAAAAGGUUAAAUUAUGGUUACUAACCUCUGGUUUACCUGUUGUUUAUGUGCCCAAUAUUAAAUAUAUAUACUAAGUAUAUAUAUAUGUAUUUUUAUACAUGGGAUGUUUCUUUCACUAAGAUAAAUGUAUAGCAUAAGCACGGCAGGAACGCUAAGUUGGUUAAGGAUAAGUGCUGAAAGCAUAUAGGCACGAAGCUUAUCUUAAGAUAUUUCUUAAAUAUACGUAAUAUAAUAUUACGAAACUAUAGGCUUUAUCCGUACGAAUCUAGAGAUUUUCAAGAAUAAAGUACUAAUUUAAUAAUUUACUAUGUAUAAAUAUAUCGA
rnacentral:rRNA from 1 species